rnacentral:tRNA from 1 species
GGCUCGGCGCUGGUCGGGUUCGUGGCCGCCGCGCUGCUGCCGCAUUUCGGCUGGCGUGCCGUGCUGCUGGCCGGCGGCGCGAUCCCGCUGCUGUGCCU